GGGGAGCAAACAGGAUUAGAUACCCUGGUAGUCCACGCCGUAAACGAUGUCGACUUGGAGGUUGUGCCCUUGAGGCGUGGCUUCCGGAGCUAACGCGUUAAGUCGACCGCCUGGGGAGUACGGCCGCAAGGUUAAAACUCAAAUGAAUUGACGGGGGCCCGCACAAGCGGUGGAGCAUGUGGUUUAAUUCGAUGCAACGCGAAGAACCUUACCUGGUCUUGACAUCCACAGAACUUUCCAGAGAUGGAUUGGUGCCUUCGGGAACUGUGAGACAGGUGCUGCAUGGCUGUCGUCAGCUCGUGUUGUGAAAUGUUGGGUUAAGUCCCGCAACGAGCGCAACCCUUAUCCUUUGUUGCCAGCGGUCCGGCCGGGAACUCAAAGGAGACUGCCAGUGAUAAACUGGAGGAAGGUGGGGAUGACGUCAAGUCAUCAUGGCCCUUACGACCAGGGCUACACACGUGCUACAAUGGCGCAUACAAAGAGAAGCGACCUCGCGAGAGCAAGCGGACCUCAUAAAGUGCGUCGUAGUCCGGAUUGGAGUCUGCAACUCGACUCCAUGAAGUCGGAAUCGCUAGUAAUCGUGGAUCAGAAUGCCACGGUGAAUACGUUCCCGGGCCUUGUACACACCGCCCGUCACACCAUGGGAGUGGGUUGCAAAAGAAGUAGGUAGCUUAACCUUCGGGAGGGCGCUUACCACUUUGUGAUUCAUGACUGGGGUGAAGUCGUAACAAGGUAACCGUAGGGGAACCUGCGGUUGGAUCACCUCCUUACCUUAAAGAAGC
rnacentral:rRNA from 1 species